AUUUCUUUGAAAUAAUUAAGAAUGAAACCUGCUCAAUGUAUAAUAAAUAGCCGCAGUAUUUUGACUGUGCAAAGGUAGCAUAAUAAUUAGUCUUGUAAUUUAAGACUGGGAUGAAGGGAUAAACUAAUAAGCCUCUUUUUUAGUUAUAAUUCUUUAACUUUACUUUUUAGUAAAAAGGCUAAAAUGUUUCUUUUAGACAAGAAGACCCUAUAAAACUUUACAUAAAAUGAUUUAAUAAAUUAAUAAUAUGUUUUACUGGGGCGGUAAGAGGAAAAACACCUCCAAAUUUUGAAAACAAAAUUGUUUUAAUACCCAAAAGUUUUGAAUUUUAAAUAAGUUACUUUAGGGAUAACAGCGUAAUAUACUUUGAGAGCCCAAAUCGACAAGUAUGUUUGCGACCUCGAUGUUGGAUUAAAUUUCCCCCUUUGCGCAAGAGCAAAUAAUGGGAGGUCUGUUCGACCUAUAAAAAUUUCCA
rnacentral:rRNA from 1 species